rnacentral:rRNA from 1 species
GAUGAACGCUGGCGGCGUGCCUAAUACAUGCAAGUCGAGCGAACGGACGCGAAGCUUGCUUCGUUCUUGUUAGCGGCGGACGGGUGAGUCACACGUGGAUAACCUACCUAUCAGACUGAGAUAACUUCGGGAAACCGGAGCUAAUACCAGAUAAUCUUUUGAACCGCAUGGUUCAAAAGUGAAAUACGGUCUUGCUGUCACUUAUAGAUGGUUACGCGCUGCAUUAGCUAGUUGGUAAGGUAACGGCUUACCAAGGCAACGAUGCAUAGCCGACCGGAGAGGGGGGUAGCCGGCAUGAGAGGGGAGACACGCACAAGGGGACUGAGAGAGGGAGCAGAAGGGAAUGGGAGGCAGUAGGCGGGAAUAUGACGGAGCAGCGGCGAGUGAGUGAUGGAGAUCUUGGGAGCGUAAAGCUCUGUUUCGAGUGAAAAACAUAUGUGUAAGGAGCUGAGGAGAAAGUGACGGUACCUAAUCAGAAAGCCACGGCUAACUACGUG